AGAGUUUGAUCCUGGCUCAGAUUGAACGCUGGCGGCAUGCUUUACACAUGCAAGUCGAACGGCAGCACGGGGGCAACCCUGGUGGCGAGUGGCGAACGGGUGAGUAAUAUAUCGGAACAUGUCCGGAAGUGGGGGAUAACGUAGCGAAAGUUACGCUAAUACCGCAUAUGCCCUGAGGGGGAAAGGAGGGGAUCGCAAGACCUUUCGCUUUCGGAGUGGCCGAUAUCGGAUUAGCUAGUUGGUGAGGUAAAGGCCCACCAAGGCGACGAUCCGUAGCUGGUCUGAGAGGACGACCAGCCACACUGGAACUGAGACACGGUCCAGACUCCUACGGGAGGCAGCAGUGGGGAAUUUUGGACAAUGGGGGCAACCCUGAUCCAGCCAUGCCGCGUGAGUGAAGAAGGCCUUCGGGUUGUAAAGCUCUUUCAGACGGAAAGAAACGGUUACAGAUAAUACCUGUGACUAAUGACGGUACCGUCAGAAGAAGCACCGGCUAACUACGUGCCAGCAGCCGCGGUAAUACGUAGGGUGCGAGCGUUAAUCGGAAUUACUGGGCGUAAAGCGUGCGCAGGCGGUUUUGUAAGACAGGCGUGAAAUCCCCGGGCUUAACCUGGGAACUGCGCUUGUGACUGCAAGGCUAGAGUACGGCAGAGGGGGGUAGAAUUCCACGUGUAGCAGUGAAAUGCGUAGAUAUGUGGAGGAAUACCGAUGGCGAAGGCAGCCCCCUGGGUCGAUACUGACGCUCAUGCACGAAAGCGUGGGGAGCAAACAGGAUUAGAUACCCUGGUAGUCC
rnacentral:rRNA from 1 species